rnacentral:misc_RNA from 1 species
GAAAUGCGAUACGUAGUGUGAAUUGCAGAAUUCCGUGAAUCAUCGAAACCUUGAACGCACCUUGCGCUUGCAGGUCCUCCUGCAAGCAUGCCUGUUUGAGCGUCGCUUCAUCAUCACUCUCUCAAGACAACCUCUUCAGAGAGCGGUUGUGACCGUCAGACUUUUUUGCAGUCUGUUGGUUGAAAUACCGAGUGGAGAACCCGCUUUGAGGUUACGAUAGUGCGGUUGACGCGCCUUGUGCGUGAUAUUGGCACUGCUCUGGCCUCUCAGGGACCUCUCUGCAUCGUCCUUUGCGACUCGAAACCCAUCGACCUCAAAUCAGGUAGGGAGACCCGCUGAACUUAA